UCUAUGGGGCAGGGCGGUAAAUUGGACAUUGUUCUCUUUUGGCUGCCGUUGUCAGUCACACAUUAUUUUUUAUUUUUUCUGAAAAUCUUGAUAACACCAUUGUGGAGUUUUAAUUUUAUUAUUUCAGCAAAUAAGAUUGUUAAAAAAAUUGUUGUACUCUCCCUUUCCCUGCGCUCUAUGUUUACCCAACUAUGACGACUUCUGCUGCUGAGAAACCCAGAAACAUGAAAACUGAGGGUUCAUUAAUCUAAUCAAAAGUGAUUUUAGCUAUCAUAGUCAGUUCCUUAGCAAUUGUAGAGAAGGCAACACAGAGACACUGAAGCUAGCACUGGAUUCCUGCGCUACUUCAGUGUGCAAGCAUGACAUUUGUAACUUUUUUGUAUUUAUUUGUCAUUAUUUCCCAUGGCAUAACCAAUUGUUUCCAUGAUAGUCUUUAUCUUUAGAUAACCUUUUAAAAGUGUGCUUAACAUCGAGCAGUCUGCUUCUCCACGGUGUCGUCUGGAUCCUUAAAUUGCAAAAGCCCUUUAAUUUUCAAUGGAUUCUGAUUUGCUGACAGUGUUUUAUCUGCUGGGGAAAAUCAUUCUUGAAGUCAUCUCAGUGAUAUUGUUCUUCUGUAUCUUUAUCGUUGUGGUGUGAACUGUGCUAUUUUUUAACACUGUGAAUGAUUUUUAGAACUCUUUUAAUAGUUAUUUUUUUAUCGUUAUCAUGCUUGGUAUGUACGGGCCUCAAGUUUCCUUAUUUCUCUUAUUUCAAGUGAUCCGUCACCCCAUAAUGUUUUCCACAUAUCAUAGGUAACUUCUGUUAAUCUGUAAUUAGGUAGGGAUUUAUAUCAAAAACUGGACACAGUGAGGUCACGCUGGGUCUCAUUUACCCAUGUCGUCUUAAGAAUUUUCUUAAAAGUGUUUCUUAGAAGCAUAAGAGCAAACUACGCCGGAUUCACAAUAUGAAUUUUAUUAAAAAAUUAUUUGCAUGUGCCAGUUUCUCCAAAUGACAUUAAGAUACUGUAUAAUUCUUAAAUAAUAAGUACUUAUGAUUUACUUAUGAUGUAUAUAAAAUACUUUAAAAGAAGAAAAUACAUUUACCAACUGGCUUUGACUCAUCCAGACUGCAAAACUAGGCUAACAAAGGCUACUCAUGGUGUUUUCAAGCUUAAGUGUAUUACAUAAAAAUUAUUGAAGUUUAUUUAUGCUGCUUUUAAUUGAUAAAAUAUAAUAUUUCUCAGUAUAGUUUGGUUUUGUCUGGCCAAAACUGGAAAUUUUGUCAUCAUUCUCCAAUUGGUCUGCUGUGAACAUGAAACAAGAAUGUUGGAAACCAGUUACCAUAGACUUUCGUUGUAUUUUUUUGUUCUUACUAUGGGAAGAGUUUUAUGAAAGUUUAGAACCACUUAAGUGUGAGGAAAUCGUGAGGAAAUUAACAUUUUGGGGUGAACUAUCCCUUUAAGCACAGUACAAGUGAUGUCUGUGCUCAUUGAGUGGGUGUGGCCUCUCUGGCACCAGAUGAGGUCAUCGCUGCCCCCUGCUGCUCACUGUUAGUAUUGCAGCUCUCAGAUCAUCCUAAAUAUUACACUGACAGACUGAAGGCCUCGGUUCUUUAUAAACUUUUUUUUGUUUGUUUGUUUUGCAUGAGGGUUUAUGAAAAAGCCUGUGUGUCUAUUUAAAGUGCAAUGAGUCAGCCAACUUCAUAUCUGCACAGCUUUUUCCCUUUUUUGUAGUGAGUUUUCUCCUUAUUUCCUGAGUUUUUGUUUAUUUGUGAUGUUAUCAAGAUUUUACAUAGCUUACAUGCAAUAGGCUGAUUUCUGCCCCUUUUCAUAUGAACACACUGUUUUGUUAAACCUUUAACAGGCACAUUUUUAAAAAAUAAAAUGGGUAAAGUUGAUUUGCAGAUACCAAACUAAGCAAUUUUUCAGUUUUGUUUUACUGAUAACACAUUCAUAUAUGGUCAGUCAUGCAGCUACAGUGCUUGUUAAAUGAUUAAUUAGAAUCAGUGAACAUAGAAACUUAUUGAUUUACAAUAAAUAAAUGUCAUUGCAUCACUGUCAAUCUAAAUGUCAUAAUGUCAACAUGUCAUUGUGUAAAAGCUUCUUUCUUAAUCACUUCAGUUUCUUGCUUUCUUUACUUAAAUUCUGCUUUUCUCAUUCUGUCAUAUUUUGUCUUGUUUUCUCCUCCUCUCUUCAUACUUUUUCUUCUGGUCAUAUCUAGCAAGAGAAUCCCAUAUACAAGAGCCCCAUUAAUAAAUUCCAGAAUCCAAGUUAUGGAAAUAAAGGCGUCGCGCUCUGAGGUGAAAACCCCAUUUACAAGAGCGCUGUGACAACGGUGGUCAACCCUAAAUAUGAGGGCAAAUAAUGGACGAACGUGUCUAUCCCCAAUCUACACUGUAUGCAGAACAAUUCAAGAGGAACAGAAGCGUUGAAGUUCACUUUGUUUCUUUAACUUUUUAAUUUUUUUUGCAUUUUUUUAAAACCACCUAUCGGCUGUGCAUUUGCCACUGUUCAGUAUAAUCAAUUAACCUGUGUUUCUAUGCAUCCUUUAGAAACUGUACAGUAUGUAUAAACUUGAGUUUUUACUUUUUUAUGCAAAAAAAAAAAAUCCAAUGUUCAAUUUUGAUUUUUAGCCACAGAUCUGCCUUGUUUUUUUGAAUGUUAAAAGCCGUCACAUUGGGAUAGAUGACAGGGGUUUUAUAGGUAAGAUAAGGUCAAGUCUGCAUUAAGAAUGUUGUUUGAGACGCAAUAGAUAAAUAUUCAAGGAACACUCCGCUUUUUGGGGGGAAAUAGGCUUUUUUACAAUCCUCCAAGUGUUACACAACUAAGUUUUACCUUAUUGAAUCCAUUCAGCCAAUUCCUGGGUCUGGCAGGAGCGCUUUUAGCUUAGCAUAAAUCAUUGAGUCGGAUUAGACCAGUAGCAUCUCGCUCAAAGUCAAAAAGUCAUUUUUCCUAUUUAAAACUUGACUCUUUUUGUAGUGACGCUGUGUAAUAAGACUGAUGGAAAAUGAUAAGUAGCUUGCUUUGGGCUAUUUUCAGGUUUUGUAUAAUAUCAUUGUGCCUGCUGUAGCCAUGAUAUGGCAGCAAAGUUCCUUGAUUAUUACACCAGAAGGAAAGUAUAGUUCCUAGCCAUAUCAGCCUAAAGAAAAUAGCAGCUUUCCAUGGAGUUUUUACAUUUUUUAUGCAAUCUUUGAAAAUCUCAAUGUUCCCUUGACUUUUAGCCACAGAUCUGCCUUGUUUUUCUGAAUGUUAAAAGCCGUCACAUUAGGAUAGAUGACAGAGGUUUUGUUGGUAAGAUAAGGUCAAGUCUGCAUUAAGAAUGUUGUUUGAGACAUAAUAGAUUGAAAUUUGAGGAACACUUCGCUUUUUUUGGAAAUAAGCUUUUUUCACAAGCCCCCAAGUGUUAAACAAUCGAGUUUUGCCUUGUUCAAUCCAUUCAGUCGAUAUCUGGGUCUGGCGGGAGCACUCUUAGCUUAGCUUAGCAUAAAUCAUUGAAUCAGAUUAGACCGUUAGCAUCUCACUAAAAGUCAAAAAGUCGUUUUUCCUAUUGAAAACUUGACUCUUUUUGUAGUUAUGCUGUGUAAUAAGACUGUUGGAAAAUGAUAAGUAGAGACUAUUUUCAGGUUUUGUUUAAUAUCAUUGUGCCUUCUGCAGCCAUGACAUGGCAGCAAAGUUCCUUGAUUAUUACACCAGAAUGAAAGUAUAAAUCCUAGUCAUGUCAGCCUAAAGAAAGCAGCUUUCCAUUGAGUUUUUACUUUUUUUAUGUAAUCUUUGAAAAUCUCAAUGUUCCCUUGACUUUUAGCCACAGAUCUGCCUUGUUUUUGCUGAAUGUUAAAAGCCGACGCAUUGGGAUAGAUGACAGGGGUUUUGUAGGUAAGAUAAGGUCAAGUCUGCAUUAAGUAUGUUGUCUAAGACACGACAGAUUGAUAUUUAAGCCACACUCCACUAUUUUGAGGGAAAUAGGGUGUUUUUACAAGCCCACAAGUGUUAAACAACUGAGUUUUAUCUUACUGAAUCCAUUCAGUCGAUCUCUGGGUUUGGCGGGAGCGCUAUUAGCUCAGUGCAGCACAAAUCAUUGAAUCGGAUUAGACCAUUAGCAUCUCGAUCAGUCAAAAAGUCAUUUUUUCUGUUUAAAACUUGACUCAUUUUGUAGUUAUGCUGUGUAAUAAGACUAAUGGAAAAUAAGUAGCUUGCUCUGGACUAUUUUCAAGGUUUGUAUAAUUUCAUUGUGCCUGCUGUAGCCAUGAUAUGGCAGCAAAGUUCCCUGAUUAUUACACCAGAACGAGAUUAUGGUUCCUAGACAUACCAGCCUCUAGAAAAUAGCUACUUUCCAUUUCCCAUCAGACUUUGUAGAUGUUGGAACUACAGACGAGUCUAGCUUUAAAUAGCAAAUAUCAAAACUCUUUUACAAUUUUAAAUGAGAUGCUAAUGGUCUAAUCUGAUUCAAUGAUUUAUGCUAAGCUAAAUGUGCUCCUGCCAGACUCGGAGAUUGACUGAAUGGAUUUAAAAAUGGUAAAACUCACCUACUUAACUCUAGGGGACGUGUAAAUCAAGACUUUUUCAAAAAAAACAAAAACAAAAGAAGAGCAGUGUUCCUUUAAUGGAUAUCCACUGCUUUAUUCAGUAUUUAGUUAAGUAAUCGAAUCAGUUUGUGUCGUUUGAUGGUACAGGAAACUUUGUGAAUUAAUGAAUGGAUGGGGUGUCCUGUCACUGGUAUAGUAGGUAACUGUAGCGGACCACUGCUGUUUGUACACAUGGUGCUUUUCUCAUGUAGACUCUGCAUAUGUCGUCUGCAUAAUUCUGGCUGAUUUGAGUCCAGUCUAUAAUGCUUAGGCCUAUGCGAGUCUGGAUGUGUGUGUGUGCUUACAUCGCCUUGCUUUGGUCUGCGAGUCAAAUGGUUUUGUGACUUUUUUUUAUUGCGCUUACUAAUGAUUUUGAAUCUAAAAUGGACAGAUUUAGUAUCAUGCAAACCAACUGUUGUAAAGGUUUUGAGUGUUUGAUUGAAAUGCCUUCCGCUUUGCAACAUCUGAGUUGUUCAGAAAAUGUCAGAGGGAUUUUUUUGGCCACUGUCUGUGAAUGAAACAAUCAACUUGUGGUUAGUGCAGACAUUAGUGUAAUGUCAUAUGAAAAGAUCUUCAGGUUUUACAUUUGUUUAAAGAAUGAGGAAUGAAACUCAGGUCCUGGAUUUUUCUCUUUCACUGAUGCCAAAUAUUUACGUCUACUGUGCAAGAACUAUAUUUUACUGUCGUUUCUUUUAGUCUCUCCGUGAGUGGAGUUGUUUCACAUUUCUUUUUAUAAUUGAAUUUGUCCAUUUUAACUGCAUUAGAUUAUGGUUGGUUGGUUGGUAAAGAUCAGUGUUAUAAAAAAAUAAUUACAUGUUUCUCCCUUUUUUAUCUUCAGAGCUUGUAAAAUUGUAAUCAUGUUACACACAAUUUGCAUUGUAAGUGCCUUUUUCAUUUUUGCAUCAAGCCCACUGUCUUUUGUUUCUACUAGUUAUUUAUUGAAAUAAAGAACCCAAAACACUGGA